CUGUGGGAAUCCUAUAAGAAUUUGUAUUUUAUAUGCUUAUAUAUUCUUUUUAUACGUUUUCCAGGAACCAAGAUGCAUGACUGUGAAACUGGGAAACACAAGCCCAGUGCCUGCUGCCACGGCCUGUGGAUCCCUGGGGGGCUAUGCCACUCCUUAUUUCCUCCUUUUCCUGCUGCCCCUGGAGAGUGGAGGGGCACAUGGUGUUAGCAGAGGGACGAUGUGUCACUGCUGAUCAGAGCACACGCCCUGCCCUCUGACCUGGGUCCACUUCACACCUUGAAUUUGCAUCCUCUCCCGCUGGGUACUUGAAAGGCGCUCUCAUCACAAACAUGGCCUGGAAGCCAGUUGGAUCUCUGCCUCCUUUCCUCUUGGAACAGAAGGGGACUGAGCCUGCUCCUUUGGAAACUUGUGACGACAUGGAAGUGAGGUUAUGUGGAAAUGAGUCCACACUUUAGAGCAGUGGUUUUCAGCUGAUGGCAAUUUUACCCUGCGAUGGAACAUUUGGCAAUAUCUGGAGACAUUUUGAUUGUCAUAGUUGGGGCAUGGAGAGUGCUACUGGCAUCUAGUGGACAGAGGAGGAGAAAUGUAGAAGCUAUGGAAGCUGCCUCACAAACUCCACACAUCUUGCAAAGCUAUUGCAAAAAGCAAGGUCAUAAAGCUUUGUUUUCUGCCUGUGUGGCCCCCAUAUUACGACUCAUUGAGGAAACCACCCAAGUGCAUGAGACAUUGACAUUGGCUUUUUGUGGCCAUCCAUUCAAAAGAAGAAAA